AUAAUGAUACUUCUGUAAUUCGCAGCCCGGCCAUAAGGAAGGCGGGGAGGUUAGAUUCCUAUGG
rfam:Lachnoclostridium sp. An298 An298_contig_1, whole genome shotgun sequence.